GGUUCGGGGUGCCUCGUCCUCCGCUGCCUACGGCGCGACGCACACGGAGCACACCAGCCCGGCCGCCCCUGCAGUCCUGCCCGCCGCGGCGUGCCGGGCGGCGGGCCCCGGGGGGCGGGGGGACCCCAUCCCGCGCCCCCGACCCCCGCGCCGCGCAGCCCCGCGCCUGAGCGCCCCCCCCCCCCCCGCGGCCCCGCGCGUCCGCCGCGCCGGCUGGCAGGUGACCGGGUCCCGCGAACCCGCGCGCGCGGACUCCCGCCGCGGGCCCCCCGCGUCCCCGGGCGCGGCCCCUUACCUCGGAGCUGGCCGGGGCGACCCCGCGGGGCCGGGCGCGGACUGGGCCGGGGAGACGCGCCUCCCGCCGCCGCCGCCGCCGCCGCCGCCGCCGCUGGGAGCCGAGGCGGCGAGCGGGCGCGGCGAGCUCCUCCCGGGCGGCGGCGGGAGGCGCUGCUCUCGCUGCCGCCGCCGCCGCCGCCGCCGCCACCGCGGCCGCGGGUCUCGGAGCUGCGCGGCCGCUGCUGCCCGGCCGCCGGCGCGCGGGUCCCUCGGCUCCUGCGGGAGGCCGGCUGCUCGCGCGGCAAACUCUUCCGCACGCAGAGCCGGUGGGGAGAGCCGCCGCCGCCUCUUCCUCCUCCCCCGCCCUCCUCCCGCCUCCCGCCUCCCGCCGCCGCCUCCUCCUCCCUCGCCUCCUCCUCCUUCCCUCCGCUCCUGCUGCCGGGUCUCUCCCGGGCGCACGCGGGGCCUCGGCCCGCCCCGGCCUGGGACUCGCACGCUGCGGCCCCCGGACCCCCGGCUCCCCUGGGCGGCGCGGCGGCCGGCGCCUCUGCCGGGCCGCGGGGGGCGCGGGGUCGGGGCCCGGCCGGGGGCGCGGGGUCGGGCUGGCGCGGGCGGCGGGCGGCGGGCGGCGGGCGCGGGCGGCGGGUGUGCGUGCUUGGAGGUGAACUGGCCGGGAGCGGCCGCGGGCGGGCGCGGGGCCGCCGGCCGAAGUCCCGUUCAAGUUGUCGCCGGGGGCGGCCGGGACAGACCCUCGCGGGGCCCGCUGCCACCCCGCGGCCCCGUGCGGGGAGGGGGGAGCACACGACGGCGGUCCCCUCCACGCCGUCCCGGCGGGGCAGGUCUGCGCGCGGACUCCGAGCCCCGGCACAGGCGCGUCUCCGCGCUGCGACCCCCGAGAUGCCCGAGGAGCGGGGGCGGCCGGGCCCCUGGGGUUGGGGAGAAGCGGGAGAGCGCUGCUGGGGAGGAAUAAUCCGCGCUGCUUCCGAGGAGAACGUAGCCGGCCGGGAAAAUGGGUCAAGGAUGGAGAGGCUGCGGCUGAGCGCCCCCCGCCCCCCGCCCCCCGGGCAGCAGCGCGCGGGUGGGGGCUGCGGCCGGGAGCGCGCCCUCGGAGCUCCGCGCGGCCUCUCCCUCCCCUCCCCCGCUGCCCUCCUCUCCUUUUGCACCAGUGCAGGAAAUGUUCCACUGACCUACAUAUUUUUCCAAACAUACGUGACCUUUUUUUUUUUUUUCCCUCUGUGGGAGGAGACAGGCGAGAAUCCAAGAAAAGGAGAAGCUGGAGCGGCGCGCGCGCGAGCAAACAGGGAGGCUUUCAGUGAGGCUCCCGCAACCGACGCCGAACGGAGACACAGGCACCGAAACCGUCCCCGGGGGCCGCGGGCCGAGGGCCGGGGGCCGGGAGCCGCGGCCUGGCAGUCGGCGGGGCCCCGAGACAGCGCGGGGGGAAGGGCCCGGGGCCCGCCGAGGCCCGACGCGGUGACCGGGACGCCCUGGGCUCGCAGGCCUCCCGCCACCGCGUGGAGGCGCCCGGAGGGAGGCCCAGAGGAGGGGAGCGGGCCCCUGCCCCGCCCCCGGGAGGUCACCCUUUCCCUGACACCCCCCUUGUACAGCGCCUGGCGCAGGGCUGAGCACCCGGCAGCCGUUUCAGACGACCCUCGGUCCCUCGCACAUUCCAGCAAGUAG
rnacentral:lncRNA from 1 species